UGGAGCUGCUGUUAGUAGGUAUGAGUAUAACGAUGAGGUUGCUAGAUGCGGCCGUUUUCGCAGAGAAGGAACGCAAAUUUUUGUCACCAUAGAUUAAGCACCAACUUACUAUAAACAAGCUGGGUCGCCAUGCUCCAUUCUGAAAGAAGAGAUCAGGACCUGACUGGGAGAUGGGUGCAACGCCCUUAUAUGUGACCAACUUUCUUCUGAAGGAAUUGCCGGUAAAGUGUAUCAUCUUCUGAAAACAGUCAGAAGAGAAACCUGAGGCGUGUCCUUUUCAUUUACCUUAUCAUGUAGAAGUAGUUUUGUUGGAAAA